GGCACAGUGGUAGAGUGGUUAAUACGUGAGACUUGAAUUCCCCCAAUUACAGUUAAGUCUGCAAUUGGCAAUUUUCACUCAUCUCAUGCCUUCGGGCUCGUAGGUUCGAAUCCUGCCUGUGUCG
rfam:Emmonsia crescens TAMH 3008 supercont1.243, whole genome shotgun sequence.